UUAAUGGCAAGCUGUAGCUGGACUCUAGAUGGUAUUCCUAAAUAGAAACAAGACCUCUGGAAUGGUUAAGCUACUGAUCGGCAUCUGGGUGACUUGUUUAAUAAUUUUUUUUUUUUUUCAGAUGCAGAGGGACAAGAGACGCACCAAAGAGCAACGGAGGAGAGUUGAGCGCCGUGAGAAGGUGCGAAGCGAUGAACAAAGCAGGAUAUCGGCACCGGAGCUGACUCGGGCAAGGUGGUACCUGAGCGUCAACGUGCCAGCCCAAAGCGACGGAGGCCAGGCGGGCGAGCGGCCCAGGUGCCGUACGCAGCCUCAGAGGGGCGAAGCCGUGUGCCGGUGACCGGUCUGAGAAGGCACCGUGCGGGCUGCCUUUGGAAUUGGACGUGCAGUUGAGGUGCCACAAGCGAUGAUGGCUGCAGCGUACGAC